AUCUAUGAGUGAUGCUUGCAUCAUUUAAAAAAUAAGCAUGUAUCAAAAAACAUGUUAGAACAGUAUUUUCAAUAACUGGACUCGACCCCAAGAACUAAAAUAGAAAAGUGAUGUGAUAUCCGUAAAUGAAACCAGUAAAUUUAGCCAAGGGCCAGAGGUUUCGGUGCAGAGUACUCCUAAAGGCUUUCUGGCAAAAAGUUUGCCCUGGUCCUAAACAGGCAGCAUCUCCUAUUUAAAAGUUUCACUUCUCCCCGCCACAUCCGCGGAUAAACCUAUUGGCGCACGAGUUCUUCCUUUCAGCAACAAACUCUUCGGUUCAUGAUAAACUAAGUUGCAGAAGCUAUCUGAUUGGCUAAGAAAUAAUGACGUAAGAUUUCUUAAGCCCACUGAGAAUCGUCCUCCCCAAGCCUGGCUCAGAUUCCGCUUUCCGAUUGGUUCUUACGGCAAGAAGGCGGGGACAAUUGCUGAAGUUGACCUCUGGGUCGGGAACGCCAGCAAACAUGGCGGCGGCCAGGUGCUGGAGGCUUGUGCUCCGUGGUCCAGGGCUGUCACUGCACACCGCGGCCGGGGCCGCCGUCACGGCUCCCGAAGUGACCGGCCCAGAUGUCGCGGCGGCCCCAGUCGCGCGCUACCCGCCGCUCGUAGCCUCUCUGACUGCCGACAGCAAGGCGGCACGGCAGCGGCGAGUGGAGCGAUGGCAGGCCACGGUGCACGCGGCCAAGUCGGUGGACGAGAAGCUGCGAAUCCUCACCAAGAUGCAGUUCAUGAAGUACGUAGUUUACCCGCAGACCUUCGCCCUGAACGCCGACCGCUGGUACCAGAGCUUUACCAAGACCGUGUUCCUGUCGGGCCUGCCGCCGCCGCCGCCGCCUGCCAAGCCCGAUACCGAGCCCGCGCCGGCUCUGGACGUAGCGGCCCUGCGCGCCGCCGCCUGUGACUGCCUCCUGCAGGAGCACUUCUUUCUGCGGCGCAAGAAGCGUGUGCCGCUCUACCUGGAACGUGAGGCCAUCGCUUCGCCUUUCUUGGACCAGCUGGUUGCCUCCCUCACGGGCCUGCUCAGCGCUCGCAAUCCAGCCCUGGCUGCCGCCGCCCUCGAUUGUAAACGCCCAGUUCACUUUUACUGGUUGCGUGGUGAAGAAAUUAUUCCUCGUGGUCAUCGGAAAGGUCGAGUUGAUGCUUUGAGAUACCAAAUAAAUGAUAAACCACACAACCAGAUUCGAAUAUCCAAACAACUACCCGAGUUUGUGCCGCUGGAUUAUUCUGUACCUGUAGAAGUCCCUGUUAUGAAUUGUAAGCCAGACAAACUUCCAUUAUUCAAACGGCAGUAUGAAAAUACCAUAUUUAUUGGGACAAAGACAGCAGAUCCACACUGUUAUGGACAUACCCAGUUUCAUCUGCUACCUGACAAAUUAAAAAGGGAAAGGCUCUUGAAACAAAACUGUGCCAAUCAGAUAGAAGUUGUUUUUAGAGCUAAUGCUAUUGCAAGCCUUUUUGCUUGGACCGGAGCACAGGCUAUGUAUCAAGGAUUCUGGAGUGAAGCAGACGUUACUCGACCUUUUGUCUCCCAGGGUGUGAUCACAGAUGGAAAAUACUUCUCCUUUUUCUGCUACCAGUUAAACACUUUGGCGCUGACUGCACAAGCUGAUCAAAAUAACCCUCGUAAAAAUAUAUGUUGGGGGACACAAACAACUAUAUACGCCAUGAAAUGGAUGGAAAAGAGAAGCAAUAAAAAUCCCAGGGUAAGAAGCAAGUCAUCUGAAAAUGAGAUGCCUGAUGUUGAAUAUUGUCAUGUGAGGAAUAGAGUAAAUUCCAGCAAAAAGAAUACUGGAAACCAAUUCUGUCCCUCACCCGCUCUGCAAUCUCUCCACGAAAGGACCAGUCUGGGACACGAUGUCGAUGAAAGGUACACCUAUGGAUUAGAGAGUGCUAAUGACGGCAUUCUACUGAAGAAUCUUCCACUUCAGGCCUAGUGAAUGAGCAGAAUUCCAUGUCUAGUCACCAGCUUUGUAUUGAGAAGGAGUUAGUUAACAGUGGUGGUGCAGCAGCUUCUCAAUCCUGGUUUCUUGAUCGUCAAUGUGCUACCGAGAAGUGUGGUUCUUGAACCUAAAACUUCCUUUGGCAUCCUUCAGGUUCCUAACCCUUCUGGAGUGCGGUUGAGCUAUUGCCAGCCAAUGAAAGAACAUUUCUUCUGCUCUUGUCCUGCCCAAUCAAGGUACUUUAGGGCUACAGAACAUCUCUCCACCCCUAAAAAAUAAAGAAAAGAGAAGAAAAAUAUAACCACAAGGAGGCUUACUGAUUAUAUUGUCUGGACUUGGU